AUGGCUUCUCAGCCUUUUGGCUAAGAUCAAGUGUAAUAUCUUUUACUGGCACUUAUAGAAGCAUCAAAAUAUUUGGAUUUAUGCUAUCUUUUGAUAGAAAAAUCUUGAACCACGAAAGAGGAAGCCCUUCAACCCUCGAUCUUUCACCUUUA
rnacentral:snRNA from 1 species